rfam:Oscillatoria nigro-viridis PCC 7112, complete genome.
GGAAGCUGCUGCCGAGAGGACGGCAACCUGUCUCGAACACAGGAGUGCAGUUAACAACUGUAGGGGUUCGACUCCUCCAGCUUCCG